AGUGGGCCAUUUUCUAAUUCAAGUGAUGAGAGUUUGUUCAGUGAUGAUGAGAUUCCGGGUGGAGGAGCUGAGCCAGUUGGAACUGAGGCCUCAGCUAGCUCGGAUGAGACGGGGGCAAUGUAAUUUUUAAUAUUUGACUUUUUGGUUUAUGGUCUGUGUUUGUGAUUUCAGUAGGAAGCCAGGCUUCUCCUUUUUCUGCUG
rnacentral:misc_RNA from 1 species